rnacentral:rRNA from 1 species
GACGAACGCUGGCGGCGUGCUUAACACAUGCAAGUCGAACGGAAAGGCCCUGCUUUUGUGGGGUGCUCGAGUGGCGAACGGGUGAGUAACACGUGAGUAACCUGCCCUUGACUUUGGGAUAACUUCAGGAAACUGGGGCUAAUACCGGAUAGGAGCUCCUGCUGCAUGGUGGGGGUUGGAAAGUUUCGGCGGUUGGGGAUGGACUCGCGGCUUAUCAGCUUGUUGGUGGGGUAGUGGCUUACCAAGGCUUUGACGGGUAGCCGGCCUGAGAGGGUGACCGGCCACAUUGGGACUGAGAUAGGGACCAGACUCCUACGGGAGGCAGCAGUGGAGAAUAUUGCACAAUGGGCGGAAGCCUGAUGCAGCAACGCCGCGUGCGGGAUGACGGCCUUCGGGUUGUAAACCGCUUUCGCCUGUGACGAAGCGUGAGUGACGGUAAUGGGUAAAGAAGCACCGGCUAACUACGUG